rnacentral:rRNA from 1 species
GAUGAACGCUAGCGGCAGGCUUAACACAUGCAAGUCGAGGGGUAGGAGCAGCUUGCUGCUUUGAGACCGGCGCACGGGUGCGUAACGCGUAUACAAUCUACCUUUUACAGAGGGAUAGCCCAGAGAAAUUUGGAUUAAUACCUCAUAGUAUUUUCGAAUGGCAUCAUUUGAUUAUUAAAGUUCCAACGGUAAAAGAUGAGUAUGCGUCCCAUUAGCUAGAUGGUAAGGUAACGGCUUACCAUGGCAACGAUGGGUAGGGGUCCUGAGAGGGAGAUCCCCCACACUGGUACUGAGACACGGACCAGACUCCUACGGGAGGCAGCAGUGAGGAAUAUUGGACAAUGGGCGCAAGCCUGAUCCAGCCAUGCCGCGUGCAGGAAGAAGCAUCUAUGGUGUGUAAACUGCUUUUGUACGGGAAGAAACACUCCUUCGUGAAGGAGCUUGACGGUACCGUAAGAAUAGGAUCGGCUAACUCCGUGCCAGCAG